UGCUGUGUGGUCUAGUGGUAUAAUUCUCGCUUUGCGUGCGAGAGGUCUCGAGUUCGAUUCUCGACUCAGCCC
rnacentral:tRNA from 1 species